AACCUAAGAAUAAAUCUGUUGGAUAAAUAUUUAUAAUUACAAAAAAUAUCGAUGAAAUUCCUUUUGGAUGGUCUCACAGGUAAUUCAAAAACAAGAUGGCGAUUAAAUUCAACUAUUACUCAAUUGAUCGUGUGAUUAAACUACCUUUAACACUCAAACAUUUGUUUGAGUAAAAAAACGAAGAAAAGCUAUAUUAAAACAACUAGAGUCAAAGACUGAAAAGUUGACAACAACCAAUUUAAUUUGGACAAAAACUAUCGUCGCGACCGACGGGGUUCUUAUUUCGAGGUUGGACUAUGAGUGCACAAUGAGGGUUAAGGAAAUGAAAUUCUUUUCAAAAUAGGUGUUUUUACUAAUACUAAGACUAAAAUUUGUUCAUAUAAUCCGCUAACCCCUAACCCUAUCAACGUGCCAUCACAAUCAACCAUUUUUCUACACUAACUUUAAGAAUCAGAAUAAAGACCAUGGAUUUUCCGCCAAAGGAGUAUCUGUAUUUCAUACGCGGAAAAAAUAGACUCACUGCAGAUACACACACCUACAUUUGAAAAAGAAAUUUUGCAGAUUGAUAACAGUUUUACAGCAGCUCUAGGAACUGUUAAAGAAUCGUGAGAAAAUAACCUAAGAAAAACAGACGAAAGAAACUACUGCAGUUCUAUUGUUUAUAUAUGAUUAAUAUUAAAUUUGUUGCCAUAUAUAAUAAAUCCUUCAAUUUCAUUUUAGUACA